rnacentral:rRNA from 1 species
UUAGACGGGGACCCGCACAAGCGGUGGAUGAUGUGGAUUAAUUCGAUGCAACGCGAAAACCUUACUACCCUUGACAUGUCCGGAAUCCUGCAGAGAUGCGGGAGUGCCCGAAAGGGAAUCGGAACACAGGUGCUGCAUGGCUGUCGUCAGCUCGUGUCGUGAGAUGUUGGGUUAAGUCCCGCAACGAGCGCAACCCUUAUCAUUAGUUGCUACGCAAGGGCACUCUAAUGAGACUGCCGGUGACAAACCGGAGGAAGUGGGGAUGACGUCAAGUCCUCAUGGCCCUUAUGGGUAGGGCUUCACACGUCAUACAAUGGUCGGUACAGAGGGUUGCCAAGCCGCGAGGUGGAGCCAAUCCCAGAAAGCCGAUCGUAGUCCGGAUUGUUCUCUGCAACUCGAGAGCAUGAAGUCGGAAUCGCUAGUAAUCGCGGAUCAGCAUGUCGCGGUGAAUACGUUCCCGGGUCUU